AUUGAACGUUGGCGGCAUGCUUUACACAUGCAAGUCGAACGGUAACAGGCCGCAAGGUGCUGACGAGUGGCGAACGGGUGAGUAAUGUAUCGGAACGUGCCCAGGCGUGGGGGAUAACGCAGCGAAAGCUGCGCUAAUACCGCAUACGAUCUAGGGAUGAAUGGCGGGGUCCUGUAAGGGCCUCGCGCGGCUGGAGCGGCCGAUGUCAGAUUAGGUAGUUGGUGGGGUAAAGGCUCACCAAGCCGACGAUCUGUAGCUGGUCUGAGAGGACGACCAGCCACACUGGGACUGAGACACGGCCCAGACUCCUACGGGAGGCAGCAGUGGGGAAUUUUGGACAAUGGGCGCAAGCCUGAUCCAGCAAUGCCGCGUGCAGGAAGAAGGCCUUCGGGUUGUAAACUGCUUUUGUACGGAACGAAACGGCUCUGGUUAAUACCUGGGGCUAAUGACGGUACCGUAAGAAUAAGCACCGGCUAACUACGUGCCAGCCGCCGCGGUAAAAC
rnacentral:rRNA from 1 species